rnacentral:rRNA from 1 species
GACGAACGCUGGCGGCGUGCUUAACACAUGCAAGUCGAACGGAAAGGCCCUGCUUUUGUGGGGUGCUCGAGUGGCGAACGGGUGAGUAACACGUGAGUAACCUGCCCUUGACUUUGGGAUAACUUCAGGAAACUGGGGCUAAUACCGGAUAGGAGCUCCUGCUGCAUGGUGGGGGUUGGAAAGUUUCGGCGGUUGGGGAUGGACUCGCGGCUUAUCAGCUUGUUGGUGGGGUAGUGGCUUACCUAGGCUUUGACGGGUAGCCGGCCUGCGAGGGUGACCGGCCACAUUGGGACUGAGAUACGGCCCAGACGCCUACGGGAGGCAGCAGUGGGGAAUAUUGCACAAUGGGCGGAAGCCUGAUGCAGCAACGCCGCGUGCGGGAUGACGGCCUUCGGGGUGUAAACCGCUUUCGCCUGUGACGAAGCGUGAGUGACGGUAAUGGGUAAAGAAGCACCGGCUAACUACGUG